rnacentral:rRNA from 1 species
AUACGGGGGGAGCAAGCGUUGUCCGGAAUUACUGGGCGUAAAGGGCGUGUAGGCGGCUUGAUAAGUCAGAUGUGAAAGCCUUCCGCUUAACGGAAGAACUGCAUUUGAAACUGUCGGGCUUGAGUGCGAGAGAGGGUAGUGGAAUUCCCAGUGUAGCGGUGAAAUGCGUAGAUAUUAGGAAGAACACCAGUAGCGAAGGCGGCUACCUGGCUCGUAACUGACGCUAAGGCGCGAAAGCGUGGGGAGCAAACAGGAUUAGAAACCCCUGUAGUCC